GCACUGCUGAUGAGACCCAAGCAGGUCGAAACAGCUUUCCAGUGC
rnacentral:hammerhead_ribozyme from 1 species